GACCAGGCCAAGCAGGACCAGCCAAAUAAGGACUUGUUUUUCACAAGGAGCAGAAGGCGGAAACCGGCACCAUCCCUGGGGCGCGGGACCUCGCAGCUCCCUACAGUUAGGAUUGGGAAUUACAUGCGAGACAGAAAGCUCUAGACCUAGGUAGCUACCCAGAGCUUACCGAGCAAGGAGACAGGUCAGGAGAGACAAAAGCCACGUCAGGGGAAGUGGGAGAUUCCUCCUCAGUGGGUACUUAAAGGUGAGGUGUAAGGUGAGAGAGGCUGGAAGAAGCGAAGUCAGAGGGUAGGGGGCGAAACCAAGGAAGAGAAAGGGGCAGGAAAGAUGGAGCCGUAGCUCUGUUCUGGACAUUUGCACCUGAGGGACCCACUGAAGAACCGGGCUGAGGUAGAAGGAAGCUCAAAGAGGCAGGAAUACAGAACUAGGAACCCGGGUAGAACAAGAAACGGAUAUAAGAAGAAACAAUGCCAUUUCUACAGAAGUGUUCAUAAACCCUUCACGUGGCUUUACAAAUGACCAGGAAGUAGGAUUUCUCCUUUCUCUUUCCGAAAAGCGUAAAUAGUGUUUCUAUUUAUAGGAGUGAAGUGACUGGUGGAGCGUGAAGAAGGGCGUGGAAGGUGAACUUCACUGAGAAGGGACCUUGACAGAAACAUCACUAUUUUCCUGAAGCUGGAGGAUGACUUUCAAGAAGCAAUAUGGUGUAACAGGAGUUGGAGCCCUUUGCCGGUAGACCAAUUCGAUGAACUGAGUUUAUUUACUGAGUUUCUACUCUGAAGAAGUCACCUUGAUAGGUGCUGGGAACGACAGAUGGCAAAACACACCCAGCUAGACUCAUGGAGGUCUCGCUGUAGCUGCAAGACAGCUGUCAUUCAACUGAGCUCACCAAUCAGAAAUGCAGUGCUGUUUAAUAUACAGAGACAUCUGGCAGUCAGAUGACCCAACUGGGAGGCUGGCUUAGAAAAAAACGUGAAUGGCUUCCCUGGGAUUGGAAGUUGGCCUGAUGUAAGAAUAAUGAC
rnacentral:sRNA from 1 species